rnacentral:rRNA from 1 species
CCUACGGGGUGCAGCAGUGGGGAAUAUUGGACAAUGGGCGAAAGCCUGAUCCAGCCAUGCCGCGUGUGUGAAGAAGGCCUUCGGGUUGUAAAGCACUUUCAGUGGGGAAGAAAGCCUUGGGGCUAAUACCCUCGAGGAAGGACAUCACCCACAGAAGAAGCACCGGCUAACUCCGUGCCAGCAGCCGCGGUAAUACGGAGGGUGCGAGCGUUAAUCGGAAUUACUGGGCGUAAAGCGCGCGUAGGCGGUCUGAUAAGCCGGUUGUGAAAGCCCCGGGCUCAACCUGGGAACGGCAUCCGGAACUGUCAGGCUAGAGUGCAGGAGAGGAAGGUAGAAUUCCCGGUGUAGCGGUGAAAUGCGUAGAGAUCGGGAGGAAUACCAGUGGCGAAGGCGGCCUUCUGGACUGACACUGACGCUGAGGUGCGAAAGCGUGGAUAGCAAACAGGAUUAGAUACCCGUGUAGUC